rnacentral:rRNA from 1 species
UUGACUACGUUUAACGGCCGCGGUACCCUGACCGUGCAAAGGUAGCAUAAUCACUUGUUCUUUAAAUGGGGACUCGCAUGAAAGGCACCACGAGGGUUUAACUGUCUCUUACUUUCAACCUCA